GACAGAGGGGGCAAGCGUUGCUCGGAAUUACUGGGCGUAAAGGGCGCGUAGGCGGGAUGGCAAGUCGGUCGUGAAAUCCCUCGGCUCAACCGAGGAACGUCGAUCGAUACUGCUGGUCUUGAGGAUUGCAGAGGAGACUGGAAUUCCCGGUGUAGCGGUGAAAUGUGUAGAGAUCGGGAGGAACACCGGUGGCGAAGGCGGGUCUCUGGGCAAUUCCUGACGCUGAGGCGCGAAAGCGUGGGGAGCAAACGGG
rnacentral:rRNA from 1 species